rnacentral:lncRNA from 1 species
AUGUUCCAGAAAAUUCGGCGUAUUUUGUGGAUGAAGUGCAAAGUGGUGACUUUGUCGAUGCUUCUUAAACAUAAUGGGUUAUAAAAAAUUGUUUCUUUUUCCAGAUUAUUAAACUCAAUGCCAUUAUAGAUGGGAGAUUCAAUGAUUGUCUGGUUAAAAUUUAUGAAAAAAAAAACAGAACGAAAAGAAAAAUAAAAGAGUAGUGCAUAGUGUUUGUAUUUGGGAAAAAGGAACCUUGAUACAGCUGGAUCUUGGAGGCCUUCUAGUUGUUGUUCAUGUGCUAUAACUGGAUCUUACAUGGAUGGUUUGUCUGUUUUUCAUAUGUCGUAUGGCAGCCAUUUGUAGAUCAAGUAUUGAUUAGUGUUUGAUGGAUAAUUUUUGCAGUCAAAAAGUGUUUGGUGCAAGGAAGGAUGGAGCGCUGCUACCGCUUGUAAAUAAGAGUAUGAUAUACAUAUCCAGCCUACAUGCAAAUGGGGCAUCACUAUCAGGUCUGCUCCAACUGCAAUCUACUGUCCCUGCAGCCUCUUUUGCAAUGGCUAUUUUCCUCUUUUGGCAACUUAUUUUACCUUUGUGACUAACUCUUUUGGCAACUUAUUUUACCUUUGUGACUAACAUUUGGCCUGGACACUUCCAGGCAAGUAGUAGCAAGGACUAGCUUAACUGAAGGGAGACAUUCUAUACGCUGGAUUAGAAUGAGCGGCAACAUAAAUUUGCAUAUUGCCUACAGAUAUUGAGAUUUCACGUUUGCCACACAAAUAUUGUACACAUUUUGUUUUUAUACUGAUACACUAAAGGUUUCCAAGUUUUUACUGUCAAAUGAUAUCAAGGUUUAAAUUCAACAUAUCCUUUAACCAUAUGAUGUUAUAUAUGAGAAAAUAAAAUAAAUAAAAUAAAGAACACACUCUUUUGGAAAAAAAAAAGGGCAAAGGAGAAAAAAAUUUAUUAU